rnacentral:rRNA from 1 species
GGCUCAGGAUGAACGCUAGCUACAGGCUUAACACAUGCAAGUCGAGGGGCAGCAUUUCAGUUUGCUUGCAAACUGGAGAUGGCGACCGGCGCACGGGUGAGUAACACGUAUCCAACCUGCCGAUAACUCGGGGAUAGCCUUUCGAAAGAAAGAUUAAUACCCGAUGGCAUAAUUAGACCGCAUGGUCUUAUUAUUAAAGAAUUUCGGUUAUCGAUGGGGAUGCGUCCCAUUAGGCAGUUGGUGAGGUAACGGCUCACCAAACCUUCGAUGGAUAGGGGUUCUGAGAGGAAGGUCCCCCACAUUGGAACUGAGACACGGUCCAAACUCCUACGGGAGGCAGCAGUGAGGAAUAUUGGUCAAUGGACGAGAGUCUGAACCAGCCAAGUAGCGUGAAGGAUGACUGCCCUAUGGGUUGUAAACUUCUUUUAUAUGGGAAUAAAGUUUUCCACGUGUGGAAUUUUGUAUGUACCAUAUGAAUAAGGAUCGGCUAACUCCGUGCCAGCAGCCGCGGUAAUACGGAGGAUCCGAGCGUUAUCCGGAUUUAUUGGGUUUAAAGGGAGCGUAGGUGGACAGUUAAGUCAGUUGUGAAAGUUUGCGGCUCAACCGUAAAAUUGCAGUUGAUACUGGCUGUCUUGAGUACAGUAGAGGUGGGCGGAAUUCGUGGUGUAGCGGUGAAAUGCUUAGAUAUCACGAAGAACUCCGAUUGCGAAGGCAGCUCACUGGACUGCAACUGACACUGAUGCUCGAAAGUGUGGGUAUCAAACAGGAUUAGAUACCCUGGUAGUCCACACAGUAAACGAU